UACGGAGGGGGCAAGCGUUAUUCGGAAUUAUUGGGCGUAAAGGGCGCGUAGGCGGCUAGAUGUGUCAAAGGUGAAAUCCCUCGGCUCAACUGAGGAACUGCCUUUGAAACUGUCUGGCUUGAGGCCGGGAGAGGGUAGCGGAAUUCCCAGUGUAGCGGUGAAAUGCGUAGAUAUUGGGAGGAACACCAGUGGCGAAGGCGGCUACCUGGACCGGUCCUGACGCUGAGGCGCGAAAGCGUGGGUAGCAAACAGG
rnacentral:rRNA from 1 species